CGAAUGCUGACGUGAGUAACGACAAAACGGGUGAAAAACCCGUUCGCCGAAAGACCAAGGGUUCCAGUCCAACGUUAAUCGGGGCUGGGUGAGUCGACCCCUAAGGCGAGGCCGAAAGGCGUAGUCGAUGGGAAAAUGGUUAAUAUUCCAUUACUUCUGUGUAAUGCGAUGAGAGGACGGAGAAGGCUAAAUCAGCCUGGCGUUGGUUGUCCAGGUGAAAGGAUGUAGGCAUGUAUCUUAGGCAAAUCCGGGGUACUCUAUGCUGAGAUCUGAUAGCAAGCUGUACUUGUACAGCGAAGUGGUUGAUGCCAUGCUUCCAGGAAAAGUCUCUAAGCUUCAGUUACACAGGAAUCGUACCCGAAACCGACACAGGUGGUCAGGUCGAGUAGACCAAGGCGCUUGAGAGAACUCUGCUGAAGGAACUAGGCAAAAUGGUACCGUAACUUCGGGAGAAGGUACGCUGUUGUUGGUGAUGGAACUCGCUUCCUGAGCUGACGACAGCCGCAGAAACCAGGCCGCUGCAACUGUUUAUUAAAAACAUAGCACUCUGCAAACACGAAAGUGGACGUAUAGGGUGUGAUGCCUGCCCGGUGCUGGAAGGUUAAUUGAUGGGGUUAGCGUAAGCGAAGCUCUUGAUCGAAGCCCCAGUAAACGGCGGCCGUAACUAUAACGGUCCUAAGGUAGCGAAAUUCCUUGUCGGGUAAGUUCCGACCUGCACGAAUGGCAUAAUGAUGGCGGCGCUGUCUCCAGCAGAGGCUCAGUGAAAUCGAAAUCGCUGUGAAGAUGCAGUGUACCCGCGGCUAGACGGAAAGACCCCGUGAACCUUUACUGCAGCUUGACACUGAACUUUGACCUUACUUGUGUAGGAUAGGUGGGAGGCUUUGAAGCUGGAACGCUAGUUCCAGUGGAGCCGUCCUUGAAAUACCACCCUGGUAAUGUUGAGGUUCUAACUCUGUCCCGUGAUCCGGGACGAGGACCGUGUCUGGUGGGUAGUUUGACUGGGGCGGUCUCCUCCUAAAGAGUAACGGAGGAGUACGAAGGUGCGCUCAGCGUGGUCGGAAAUCACGCGUAGAGUAUAAAGGCAAAAGCGCGCUUAACUGCGAGACCCACAAGUCGAGCAGGUACGAAAGUAGGUCUUAGUGAUCCGGUGGUUCUGUAUGGAAGGGCCAUCGCUCAACGGAUAAAAGGUACUCUGGGGAUAACAGGCUGAUACCGCCCAAGAGUUCAUAUCGACGGCGGUGUUUGGCACCUCGAUGUCGGCUCAUCUCAUCCUGGGGCUGAAGCAGGUCCCAAGGGUAUGGCUGUUCGCCAUUUAAAGAGGUACGCGAGCUGGGUUUAGAACGUCGUGAGACAGUUCGGUCCCUAUCUACCGUGGGCGCUGGAAAUUUGAGAGGAUCUGCUCCUAGUACGAGAGGACCAGAGUGGACG
rnacentral:rRNA from 1 species